UAAUGAGACCUGAGUUUUAUUUAGAUCGGCUUCAGAUUUUGUACAUGUACAUUUUCUGACUGUGGGAAGAAGCCAGAGUACCCAAAAUUCAGUUUUAAGGAGACUGGAAUAUUGUGUACAAAAAAAUAGAUUUAAUACAGAAAUGCUAUUUUUCAAAUGAUGCUACAAACUCAUUGACAAGGUAAGCCACAAAUGUUUAUUGUUAAAAAAGAAUGCUUACUGUUUUCAUGGUGCCGUAUCCAAGUGUUUUAAUAGAAAGUUGGGUGGAAGGAAAACUUGUAGCAGAGAAAAAUGCACAACAAGACAAAUAUAUUGUUGUCUUUUUUACCAAUUUUAUGUUGUACAAUAUGAUGAAUUGUUAAUAUCACUCUAUUUUCAAUUGCAGAGCAAAGCAAAUUAAGUGAUACACUUCUUGGUUGAGGAUUUUCACAGCUUUCUGUCUUUGGCAGAUUUCUGGUCACCAUUUAGCAAGUUUGAUGUGAUGGGAUUGCGGAGGAGAUGAUAUCUAACGUACACUAUGUGGAACAUCUUGUAUUUUAUUGCAGGUUAAUGUUUUUACUGUAAAAGGCCAAAUUCUUCCAGGUUACUUUCCUCUAAGACACAAGUGUCAAACUCGAGGCCCGAGGGCCAAAUCUGGCCCGCCAUAACGAAUCAAUGCAAGUCUGUCUGAAAUCUUUCAUCAAAAAUUCUGUACUAGACCUAAAAAAAAUGGAUAUGAAACCAACAAAACUGACAAAACCCCAAAACAUUAAAGGC